GUUUGUCUCGAUUUCUUUCUCUGUAUCUCAGGUGUUGGUGACUGGUCUAUGGUCCACAGAGAGGGAUUCCAUCCAUGCUCUCCUCGGUGAUCUCCAACAGCUGUGCUCUCUAUAGGGAUUAUGGAAACCACAGACCUCCCCCGUACCCCAGGAAGAACAUCAGACCCAGAGCUUCACUUCAACACAACCCAUAUAACCCAUACAGGCCAUACCUGAGAAGGGUGGAUACGAGAGUAUCUUUAGCCGAUCCCAAGAAAAUCUCCAGGGCCACCAGUAGGGGUCAGUAUGUCACCAUGCCUGUUUGCCAUCCAAGGCUGCAUUUCUCUCCGAGACUGGCGCUAGGCAUGGGGCAGCCCCGGGCCAACACCAGACAAAGCCCACUGCCGGUCAGUCAGAGGAUCAUCCAAUCACAGCACAAAGCAAGGCAGACCAGGAGUGCUGGGAGCUGCUCCAGUUAUAAUACAAGCUCCUGGGUUGAGAAAGGCUCUAGUAAACCUGAUAAAGGGAAGAAAACACCAUACAAGGCCACAUCUUCUUCUCCAAGAGUACAGGAGACAUAAGCCACAAGAGUUCCAGUUCUAAUGGUCGCCAGCAAUAUCGCUACUUCACCAAGGAUGGAAUGUGUCGCGGCUCGUCAUACCACAUGACACAUUCAUACUAAGAACAAGAUGUGUGACCUGAUCGGCACCCUGGUGGAUCUGAAGUACAGCUGGAUCCUGUUUGUCUUUACCCUGUGCUACAAUGUCACCUGGACAGCCUUCGCAGAGCUCUACUUCCUGGAUGCCUGGCUGCGUGGUGAUGUGGAGCACAUACAAUGUGUUCCACAUACAAACCCGCAAUGGCAGCCAUGCUUUGAGAAGCUGGACAGUUUCCAUUCGGCCCUCUCUAUCUCCAUGGACAGCCAAAUCAUCAAUGGCUACGGCACUAGAGAGGCCUCAGUCAACUGCAUGGACGGGCUGGUUCUCAUGAUGUCACAGUCCGUCAUUGAAUCAGUGUUAGACGUCCUUAUGCUGGGCUACAUCCUGGCUAAGAUAGCCAAGCCUAAGAGGAGGCUGCCCACUUUGUUGUUCAGUCAGCACUGUGUGGUCUGAGAGGGAUGAGAGCCUGUGCCUGAUGUUCAACGUCAGGACUUUGAAAGAGACACACAUGCUGGUGGCAGAGAUUAGAGCCAAGCUGAUCAAAUCUCACCAUACCAAAGAGGGAGAGUUCAUCCUGUUGGAUCAGAGAGAGCUGACUCUGCGGAUGGAACCAGAUGGAGCCAGGUUGUUCACAGUGGAGCCCCAGACCAUGGAGCAUGUAAUUGAUGAACACAGGCCUCUCUGGGGCAUCAGCACUGACUCUUUAAAGUGGGAGACCUUUGAAAACCGUGGUCAUGGUGGAUGGAGCCAUGCAAGACGCGGGUUUGUACUGAGAGGCACAGCCUUCCAUGUGAGGACCUCCUACACUGAAUAUGAUAUUCUUUGGGGACAGCGCUUUAAGUCAUGCAAGCCAUUAGAUGAGAGGGGGAUUGGGUCCAAUCACAAGACCUCUGAUAAGAACUAUAAGGUCCAGAUUGCCACACACAGUGACAAAGAGAUGGCAGUGAGACAUAGACAUAAGAGAUCUCCUGGACACGACACAGACACUGUCCCCUCCAACAUGUCUACAAGGAAAGUACAUUACCAGUAUUUAUCUGAUCAAAUGUUACUGUGCAACUCAGUCAGUAAUAACAAUGGCACAGGAACUAGGAAACUUAGUAAGAAUGAGUUCUUUAUAUAAAUAUGGACGUUUGACAGGUCGGUAUAGCAGGGUUCAUCAAAGUGAUGAAAUCAAGACACACUGUACAUAUCCUCCAGAACGUUUAUACAAUGGGAAUAAAUGAAUGAUGAUGACCAAUAUCUAAAGCUGCCACAUCUUAUUUAUCAAACUUUCUGAAUACUUACAUUUGUAUAUGUGAGCAGUGAGCACAGCAUGCCUUGUGCUAGGCAAACACAAUUAUGCUGAUUGUUAGUGGUCUCCUUACAGUAUGCAAGGAAUUACAAAAGGUUUUUUUUUUGUUGCCCAUACACCAAACUCUCCCGAUUUAAAUGAUGAGUGUCAUUUAAUGAUUGUAUUGUGGGGAACCAAUUUGAGAAAUGGAAGACCGAACUGACAGUCGCGCAUGACAAGACAAAUUAAUGUCAGUAUUACUGUCUCAUCACCAGCAAUGUGGAUAUCUCAUUCAUAUACCAUGCUAGACUCAUAUAUAUAUAUAUAUAUUACGUGGUAGAUAAGCUUUAGCAUUGGAGAUAGAUUGUGGCUUCCAUCAACGUAAUUGUCUGCAUCAUUUCCAAGCU